rnacentral:rRNA from 1 species
AGUGGCGAAAGGGUGAGGAACGCGUGAGUAACUUGCCUCCAAGUUGGGAAUAACUCCGGGAAACUGGUGCUAAUACCGAAUGUGGCCCGUCAACGCAUGUUGGCGACGCUAAAGAUUUAUCGCUUGGAGAUAGGCUCGCGUACCAUUAGCUAGUUGGUGAGGUAAUGGCUUACCAAGGCUCUGAUGGUUAGCUGGUCUGAGAGGAUGACCAGCCACACUGGGACUGAGACACUGCCCAGACUCCUACGGGAGGCUGCAGUCGAGAAUUUUGGGCAAUGAGCGAAAGCUUGACCCAGCAAUGCCGCGUGUAGGAUGAAGGCCUUCGGGUUGUAAACUACUGUCACCGGGGACGAAUAUUUGACGGUACCCGGAGAGGAAGCCACGGCUAACUACGUGCCAGCAGCCGCGGUAAUACGUAGGUGGCGAGCGUUGUUCGGAUUUAUUGGGCGUAAAGGGUCCGCAGGGGGCCCGUUAAGUUAGAUGUGAAAUCCCGGGGCUCAACCCCGGAACUGCAUUUAAAACUGGCGGGCUAGAGUGCUGGAGAGGUAAAUGGAAUUCCAGGUGUAGCGGUGGAAUGCGUAGAUAUCUGGAAGAACACCGAAAGCGAAGGCAGUUUACUGGACAGCAACUGACCCUCAGGGACGAAAGCGUGGG